UUGGGCAAAAAGUUGGCAAAUCACUUGCCCCCUAAUUAGGGGCCUGUAAGAAGGGCCUCCGGAAGGGCCUACCUGUCUCUUGCAGCACGAUAAUGAAACUGAUCUCCUAGUACAAAAGCUAGGAUGCCCCCAUAAGACGAGAAGACCCUGUGGAGCUUACAAAUACUAUUGCUACAUUAACCCCCCCCCCAGCCCAACCCCAAUACUAGAAAACUUUUUUAUUUGGGGAAAUUUUGGGAGAAAAACAAACCCUCAAAAAAAAACUCACCCUUUACCAAGGGCCCCCGGGCAAAACCAAAAGAGACCCGGCACGGUUAAUCCCCGAAGCAAGUUUCCCCCGGGAAUAACAGCCCCUUCUUUUUCCAGAGCCCAUUUCGCCAAGAGGGAUUGCCCACCCCUUUUGAUUAUGGAUCCCCCCGGGGCAGGGSGCAGCCGCUACUAAAGGUCCGUUUGUUCAACGGCUAACGUCCUACGUGAACAA
rnacentral:rRNA from 1 species